rnacentral:rRNA from 1 species
UAGAGUUUGAUCUGGCUCAGAACGAACGCUGGCGGCGUGGAUAAGACAUGCAAGUCGAACGAGAGAAUUGCUAGCUUGCUAAUAAUUCUCUAGUGGCGCACGGGUGAGUAACACGUGAGUAACCUGCCCCCGAGAGCGGGAUAGCCCUGGGAAACUGGGAUUAAUACCGCAUAGUAUCGAAAGAUUAAAGCAGCAAUGCGCUUGGGGAUGGGCUCGCGGCCUAUUAGUUAGUUGGUGAGGUAACGGCUCACCAAGGCGAUGACGGGUAGCCGGUCUGAGAGGAUGUCCGGCCACACUGGAACUGAGACACGGUCCAGACACCUACGGGUGGCAGCAGUCGAGAAUCAUUCACAAUGGGGGAAACCCUGAUGGUGCGACGCCGCGUGGGGGAAUGAAGGUCUUCGGAUUGUAAACCCCUGUCAUGUGGGAGCAAAUUAAAAAGAUAGUACCACAAGAGGAAGAGACGGCUAACUCUGUGCCAGCAGCCGCGGUAAUACAGAGGUCUCAAGCGUUGUUCGGAAUCACUGGGCGUAAAGCGUGCGUAGGCUGUUUCGUAAGUCGUGUGUGAAAGGCGCGGGCUCAACCCGCGGACGGCACAUGAUACUGCGAGACUAGAGUAAUGGAGGGGGAACCGGAAUUCUCGGUGUAGCAGUGAAAUGCGUAGAUAUCGAGAGGAACACUCGUGGCGAAGGCGGGUUCCUGGACAUUAACUGACGCUGAGGCACGAAGGCCAGGGGAGCGAAAGGGAUUAGAUACCCCUGUAGUCCUGGCAGUAAACGGUGCACGCUUGGUGUGCGGGGAAUCGACCCCCUGCGUGCCGGAGCUAACGCGUUAAGCGUGCCGCCUGGGGAGUACGGUCGCAAGAUUAAAACUCAAAGAAAUUGACGGGGACCCGCACAAGCGGUGGAGUAUGUGGCUUAAUUCGAUGCAACGCGAAGAACCUUACCUGGGCUUGACAUGUAAUGAACAACAUGUGAAAGCAUGCGACUCUUCGGAGGCGUUACACAGGUGCUGCAUGGCCGUCGUCAGCUCGUGUCGUGAGAUGUUUGGUUAAGUCCAGCAACGAGCGCAACCCCUGUUGCCAGUUACCAGCACGUGAAGGUGGGGACUCUGGCGAGACUGCCCAGAUCAACUGGGAGGAAGGUGGGGACGACGUCAGGUCAGUAUGGCCCUUAUGCCCAGGGCUGCACACGUACUACAAUGCCCAGUACAGAGGGGGCCGAAGCCGCGAGGCGGAGGAAAUCCUAAAAACUGGGCCCAGUUCGGACUGUAGGCUGCAACCCGCCUACACGAAGCCGGAAUCGCUAGUAAUGGCGCAUCAGCUACGGCGCCGUGAAUACGUUCCCGGGUCUUGUACUCACCGCCCGUCA